rnacentral:rRNA from 1 species
GACGAACGCUGGCGGCGUGCCUAACACAUGCAAGUCGAACGGAAAGGCCCUGCUUUUGUGGGGUGCUCGAGUGGCGAACGGGUGAGAAACACGUGAGUAACCUGCCCUUGACUUUGGGAUAACUUCAGGCAACUGGGGCUAACACCGGAUAGGAGCUCCUGCUGCAUGGUGGGGGUUGGAAAGUUUCGGCGGUUGGGGCUCGACUCGCGGCUUAUUAGCUUGUUGGUGGAGUGGUGGCUUACCCAGGCUUCGACUGAUAGCCAGCCUGAGAGGUUGAACAGGCACAAUGGUACUGAGGUACGGAGCAGUCGGGUACGUGGGGCAACAGGGGAGAGUAUGACACAGUGAUGGGACGCCUGUUGAGGCGGCGUUGCGUUCGGAAUGACGGCUUACGUGUGGUGAACCGCUUUCGCCUGAGACGUAGCGUUAGUGACGGUAAUGAGUAAAGAAGCACCGGCUAACUACGUG